GUUCCUGUAGUUGAGAACAACAAUGGCUUUUCAAGCCGUAGUCCUUGGGAUUAGUCCAAGCAGGAAUA
rnacentral:tRNA from 1 species